AGCGAACGCUGGCGGCAGGCCUAACACAUGCAAGUCGAACGAACCUUUCGGGGUUAGUGGCGGACGGGUGAGUAACACGUGGGAACGUGCCUUUAGGUUCGGAAUAACUCAGGGAAACUUGUGCUAAUACCGAAUGUGCCCUUCGGGGGAAAGAUUUAUCGCCUUUAGAGCGGCCCGCGUCUGAUUAGCUAGUUGGUUGAGGUAAUGGCUCACCAAGGCGACGAUCAGUAGCUGGUCUGAGAGGAUGAUCAGCCACAUUGGGGCUGAGACACGGCCCAAACUCAUACGGGAGGCAGCAGUGGGGAAUCUGUCGCAAUGGGCGAAAGACUGACGCAGCCAUGCCGCGUGAAUGAUGAAGGUCUUAGGAUUGUAAAAUUCUUUCACCGGGGACGAUAAUGACGGUACCCGGAGAAGAAGCCCCGGCUAACUUCGUG
rnacentral:rRNA from 1 species